UGGGGAAUAUUGGACAAUGGGCGCAAGCCUGAUCCAGCAAUGCCGCGUGUGUGAAGAAGGCCUUCGGGUUGUAAAGCACUUUUGUCCGGAAAGAAAUCCUUGGCUCUAAUACAGUCGGGGGAUGACGGUACCGGAAGAAUAAGCACCGGCUAACUACGUGCCAGCAGCCGCGGUAAUACGUAGGGUGCAAGCGUUAAUCGGAAUUACUGGGCGUAAAGCGUGCGCAGGCGGUUUGCUAAGACCGAUGUGAAAUCCCCGGGCUCAACCUGGGAACUGCAUUGGUGACUGGCAGGCUAGAGUAUGGCAGAGGGGGGUAGAAUUCCACGUGUAGCAGUGAAAUGCGUAGAGAUGUGGAGGAAUACCGAUGGCGAAGGCAGCCCCCUGGGCCAAUACUGACGCUCAUGCACGAAAGCGUGGGGAGCAAACAGGAUUAGAUACCCUGGUAGUCCACGCCCUAAAACGAUGUCAACUAGUUGUUGGGGAUUCAUUUCCUUAGUAACGUAGCUAACGCGUGAAGUUGACCGCCUGGGGAGUACGGUCGCAAGAUUAAAACUUAAAGGAAUUGACGGGGUCAUAGCUG
rnacentral:rRNA from 1 species